GGGAGUGUAGCUCAGUGAUAGAGCACUUGCCUAGCCAAGCAGGAGGCUCUGGGUUUGAUACCCAGCAUAGCAA
rnacentral:tRNA from 1 species